rnacentral:rRNA from 1 species
UACGUAGGGGGCAAGCGUUAUCCGGAUUUACUGGGUGUAAAGGGAGCGCAGACGGUUUUGCAAGUCUGAAGUGAAAAUCCGGGGCUCAACCCCGGAAUUGCUUUGGAAACUGUAGGACUAGAGUGCAGGAGAGGUAAGUGGAAUUCCUAGUGUAGCGGUGAAAUGCGUAGAUAUUAGGAGGAACACCAGUGGCGAAGGCGGCUUACUGGACUGUAACUGACGUUCAUGCUCGAAAGCGUGGGGAGCAAAC